rnacentral:tRNA from 1 species
GCUGCCGUAGCUCAGUGGUAGAGCACUCCCUUGGUAAGGGAGAGGUCAAGAGUUCAAAUCUCUUCGGCAGCACCA